rnacentral:rRNA from 1 species
CCUACGGGAGGCAGCAGUGAGGAAUAUUGGUCAAUGGGCGCGAGCCUGAACCAGCCAAGUCGCGUGAGGGAUGACGGCCCUACGGGUUGUAAACUUCUUUUAUAGGGGAGUAAAGUCGUGCACGUGUGCCUGUUCGUCUUUACUUUAUCAAUUAAGAACGGCUAACCUCGUGCCAUCAGCCCCGGUAAUACGGAGGAUCCGAGGGUUAGCCGGAUUUAUUGGGGUUAAAGGGAGCGUAGAUGGGUUGUUUAGUCAGUUGUGAAAGUUUGCGGCUCAACCGUAAAAUGGCAAUUGAUACUGGAAGUCUUGAGUACAGAUGAGGUAGGCGGAAUUCGAGGUGUAGCGGUGAAAUGCUGAGAUAUCACGAAGAACUCCGAUUGCGAAGGCAGCUUACUAGCCUGCGACUGACGCUGAUGCGCGAAAGCGUGGGGAUCAAACAGGAUUAGAUACCCGUGUAGUC